rnacentral:misc_RNA from 1 species
GAUGAAGAACGUAGUAAAAUGCGAUAAGUAAUGUGAAUUGCAGAAUUCAGUGAAUCAUCGAAUCUUUGAACGCACAUUGCGCCCGCCAGUAUUCUGGCGGGCAUGCCUGUUCGAGCGUCAUUUCAACCCUCAAGCACAGCUUGGUGUUGGGACUCGCGUUAAUUCGCGUUCCCCAAAUUGAUUGGCGGUCACGUCGAGCUUCCAUAGCGUAGUAGUAAAACCCUCGUUACUGGUAAUCGUCGCGGCCACGCCGUUAAACCCCAACUUCUGAAUGUUGACCUCGAAUUAGGUAGGGAUACCCGCUGAACUUAAGCAUAUCAAUAAGCGGAGGA